rnacentral:tRNA from 1 species
GGUGGAUGUAGCUCAGUGGUAGAGCGCAUGCUUAGCAUGCAUGAGGUCCUGGGUUCAAUCCCCAGUACCUCCA